rnacentral:rRNA from 1 species
UGGGGAAUCUUGGGCAAUGGGCGCAAGCCUGACCCAGCGACGCCGCGUGUGGGAAGAAGGCCUUCGGGUCGUAAACCACUGUCAGGAGGGAAGAAAAGCAGAUUCCGAACAGGGGUCUGUAUUGACGGUACCUCCAGAGGAAGCACCGGCCAACUCCGUGCCAGCAGCCGCGGUAAUACGGAGGGUGCAAGCGUUAUUCGGAAUCACUGGGCGUAAAGCGCGCGUAGGCGGCUGCGCAAGUCAGAUGUGAAAGCCCUCGGCUAAACCGGGGAAUUGCAUCUGAAACUGCGUAGCUAGAGUUCGGGAGAGGGCGGCGGAACUCCCGGUGUAGGGGUGAAAUCCGUAGAUAUCGGGAGGAACACCAGGGGCGAAGGCGGCCGCCUGGACCGAAACUGACGCUGAGGCGCGAAAGCGUGGGUAGCAAACA